GUUUUUUUAGACAUUUUUCGAUCGUUUUUUUUAUACAUUUUUGAUCGCUGUUGUGUGACAAAUUUGAUCGUUUCACACAUCAUGGAGCUCCAUCAUUCUAAGGAAAACGUUUGGAUGCACAUAGCUUUCUUAUUAUUUUAUUGGUUCUUUAUGAGAAUAUUUAAGCUACCAAAACCUGAAGCAGAAACGUUACAUAGCUAUAUAUAGUAACAUAAGAGUUCAUCAAAUUUUCUUCAAGCAACUUGUUAUUUUGCAAAUGUCGGGGCCCCUUUUGACAGUCUCCCGAAUGACCAAAUUAUUAGAAAACCGUACAGUUCCGUUUCCACACUAUGGUACUGGUCUCUCCGAAUAGAAUCACGCUUUCACUACGCUCUCGCUAUAAUGAUACAGCGACCUUUGCGAUCUUACCACGACCUUAGUGCGAACUCACUAAUACCUGAUUCCACCACGAUUGCUUUGAACAUGUUCAAAGUUGUAUACGCUCAUCACGAACUUGAAGACCUCACCACGAC
rnacentral:lncRNA from 1 species